ensembl:lncRNA
CCCCGAUGAUGACCUAGACCCCCUCCCCCCCGCACCUGGUGACUCCGCGGGUCACUUCCGAUGGUCACCUAGGACCGCGGGGUGGCGCGGAGCAGACCCGCUUUUCAGGAUCCAGGCUGGGCAGACUGCUGACCGCCCCGGGGGUCGGCGCUCCCACAGACAGCUCUGCCGGAAUCUUCUUCCUCUGCACCGCUCGGUGACUUCAUCCAGUCCAAGAGCUCAGACAUCUGUGUUCUGAAUGAGCUUCAGGCGCUUGCGUCCAGUAGCCCGUUUGAUUAUGCCACCUUGAUGUCCUUUGGCAGCUCAAGUUUCAGGUGUAAACAGGUGCCUUUUUCUUCCCUUCAAAAGGACGAAACUGGAAAAACAUGACCCGUGUGCUGAGCUCUUCUUAUCUGCUCACCCUGAUCAAUGGUUAGCUAUGUUAGGAGCUGCCCUGUGGAGAGACUCCUGUGGUCAAGAACUUGCUGUCCGAACAACAAUCAGCAAGGAACUGGAUAACAACAACCAGCAAGGAACUGGAUCCUGCCAACAAGCAGUGCAUGAGGUCAGAGCGGAUCUUUCCCCCAGCUGUGCCUGGAGAUGACUUCAGCCACACCCGGCACCUUGACUGCAGCCCAUGGAGACCCUGACGCAGAGAACCCGCCUAAGCUGCAUGCAGAUGUCUGACCCGCAGCAAUGUGAGAUAAUAAAUGUCAUCAUUUAAGCUGGGACCUAACAGACCUGUGGAUAGAUAAACACCAGCCAGAACAGCCAACAGGCUUCCCAGGUGGUGCUAGUGGGGAAGAACCCGCCUGCCAGUCCAGGAGACCUAAGAGACUGUGGUCCAGUCCCUGGGUGGAGAAGGUCCCCCAGAGAAGGAAAUGGCAACCCACUCCAGUAUUCUUGCCUGGAGAAUUCCAUGGACAGAGGAGCCUGGAGGGCUACAGUCCACGGGGUCGCACAGAGUCAGACACGACUGAGCGCACACACUGAGCAGUAGAUCCGACAGCUGGGAAUUUCGAAAGGAAAUCUGCGAGUCCACAAGAACAAGAGUGGAUGCUUUCAUUGAAAGAAGAGGAAUACAAUCUCUGAGGACUGUUUUAUUCUCUCAGGAAGAUGGGAAAACUGGGACUGAUCACCAUUUUGCACUAAUUCUUGCAGAGUUGGUCCUUGUAGAUCCACUGGAUCCCUCUCUUUUGCUUUGUAAAUUGAGCCGAAAUUGUUCCUGCG